GAUGAACGCUGGCGGCGUGCCUAAUACAUGCAAGUCGAGCGAACAGACGAGGAGCUUGCUCCUCUGACGUUAGCGGCGGACGGGUGAGUAACACGUGGAUAACCUACCUAUAAGACUGGGAUAAAUUCGGGAAACCGGAGCUAAUACCGGAUAACAUGUUGAACCGCAUGGUUCAACAGUGAAAGACGGUCUUGCUGUCACUUAUAGAUGGAUCCGCGCCGCAUUAGCUAGUUGGUAAGGUAACGGCUUACCAAGGCAACGAUGCGUAGCCGACCUGAGAGGGUGAUCGGCCACACUGGAACUGAGACACGGUCCAGACUCCUACGGGAGGCAGCAGUAGGGAAUCUUCCACAAUGGGCGAAAGCCUGACGGAGCAACGCCGCGUGAGUGAAGAAGGUCUUCGGAUCGUAAAACUCUGUUAUUAGGGAAGAACAAAUGUGUAAGUAACUAUGCACGUCUUGACGGUACCUAAUCAGAAAGCCACGGCUAACUACGUG
rnacentral:rRNA from 1 species